ACGCUCGACACCUACGGGAGGCAGCAGUGAGGAAUAUUGGUCAAUGGGCGCUAGCCUGAACCAGCCAAGUAGCGUGAAGGAUGAAGGCUCUAUGGGUCGUAAACUUCUUUUAUAUAAGAAUAAAGUGCAGUAUGUAUACUGUUUUGUAUGUAUUAUAUGAAUAAGGAUCGGCUAACUCCGUACCAGCAGCCGCGGUAAUCUGAGCGGGCUGGCAAGGC
rnacentral:rRNA from 1 species